UUCACAACAUUUAUCGCAUAUCCUUACACCCUUGCUGGAGAGAAGCCGACGCCGCCGAAGAUCGGAAACAACACUCACCGCAUCUCGCUUGAACCGCCAACACCUUCGUCGGAGUCGGAGAACCCUCAUACCCACUCUCGACACCACCAUCUCACUUCUCCGUUUUGAUAACAAGUCGCCGGAAAGAUCAAGACGUGCUGGAUGAUCGAAGAAGACGACCGGAAAAUAGUCGCGAGUUCACGUCGAUGGCCGUUUCGGUAUAUGUUUCUUACUCCUUUUGUUUCGCGUUCCAUCUUCUGUUGAUAUGUAUCAAAUCCCGACACUUUAUAACAAUUCAAAGAACCGAAUGUAUGAGUAUACGUAACAGUUAUGUAUGUUUUUUUUAAAACUUAAAAGAUGAUGGCCUUUUUCCUAUUUUGAUUCGGUAUAUUUUCUUAUAACCAGUUAUUCCUCAUGAUUACACUAAUAAAAAUUUUAUGUUCCUAACGUUAAUAAACACAUAAAUCAAUCUGAGAAUUUUGGUGUUAGACAUCAGUGUUUUGGUUGGGUGGUUAUAAUGAAAAAGAUGAUGAACAGUCAUGUUCUUUGCUUUCAAAAUGAGUUUUAUAAAACCACCCACAAAAUAUAUAUUUUAUCGUUGCAAUAUUUCCAGUUGUUAAUUUUAGUACAUGGUAUAUACACUGUCUAGUUAAUUAAUCUAUUUCUAGGAUUAUCAUUUUAUAAACUAACAAGUUCCACAUCGUAAACCUAUUUUGAGACUUAGUUUUUGGUUUAAGAAAAUAAGUCUUCAUCAUAUUAUAAACAAAUAUUUUAUACCAUUAUGUUGUUUUGAAAAUAAAUAAUUCUAAGAAGUUGUUUCGUAUAUAAAUAAUCAUAAAAAGUUAUUAAUAAGUUAAAUUAUAAUAUUUAUUCAAAUCGUAAACCAUAAAUAUUAGGGUUAUGUUUAACCUACAACUUUUAACGAGUUCGUCACGUGUUAUUUUAAAUAUCUAGGAAUAACCAUCUCGCUCGUUCUCUUGGAUUGUUCUCAAUUCUUUUCCUCGCACGUUAUUUCCAAGUAUUCGCAAUGCAACCAAUGAUGAGGAAGUCAAGAUUUGAAGAAAUGAAUAGGAUGGCCUAGAAACCCACUUUUGAAAUAAACUAUGUUUAAUGUUUGUUAUUUCCUUUUAUGACAAUGUAUGAAACUUUGCAAUUUUAAUAAAUGAAAUUUAAUUAU
rnacentral:lncRNA from 1 species